UACAGAGGGUGCGAGCGUUAAUCGGAAUUACUGGGCGUAAAGGGUGCGUAGGUGGUCAAUUAAGUUAGAUGUGAAAUCCCUGGGCUUAACCUAGGAAUGGCAUUUAAUACUGAUUGGCUAGAGUUUGGGAGAGGGAAGUGGAAUUUCCGGUGUAGCGGUGAAAUGCGUAGAUAUCGGAAGGAACACCAGUGGCGAAGGCGACUUCCUGGCCCGAUACUGACACUGAGGCACGAAAGCGUGGGGAGCGAACAGG
rnacentral:rRNA from 1 species